rnacentral:rRNA from 1 species
UGGGGAAUCUUCCGCAAUGGACGAAAGUCUGACGGAGCAACGCCGCGUGAGUGAUGACGGCCUUCGGGUUGUAAAGCUCUGUUAAUCGGGACGAAUGGUUCUUGUGCGAAUAGUGCAAGGAUUUGACGGUACCGGAAUAGAAAGCCACGGCUAACUACGUGCCAGCAGCCGCGGUAAUACGUAGGUGGCAAGCGUUGUCCGGAAUUAUUGGGCGUAAAGCGCGCGCAGGCGGAUUGGUCAGUCUGUCUUAAAAGUUCGGGGCUUAACCCCGUGAUGGGAUGGAAACUGCUAAUCUAGAGUAUCGGAGAGGAAAGUGGAAUUCCUAGUGUAGCGGUGAAAUGCGUAGAUAUUAGGAAGAACACCAGUGGCGAAGGCGACUUUCUGGACGAAAACUGACGCUGAGGCGCGAAAGCCAGGGGAGCGAACGG